AACUGGUUGAUCCUGCCAGUAGUCAUAUGCUUGUCUCAAAGACUAAGCCAUGCGUGUCUAAGUAUAAGUAUUAUACAGCGAAACUGCGAAUGGCUCAUUAAAACAGUUAUAGUUUAUUUGAUAAUCGAAACCUACAUGGAUACCCGUGGUAAUUCUAGAGCUAAUACAUGCUGGUGUGCCCGACUUUUGCGGAACGGGCGGUAUUUAUUAGAUAACAAGCCAAUAUUCCUCUGGUCUAUUGUGGUGACUCAUAAUAACUGAUCGAAUCGCAUGGCCUAUGGCCGCGAUAAGUCAUUCAAGUUUCUGCCCCAUCAGCUUUCGAUGGUAGUGUAUUGGACUACCAUGGCGUUUACGGGUAACGGAGGAUUAGGGUUCGAUUCCGGAGAGGGAGCCUGAGAAACGGCUACCACAUCUAAGGAAGGCAGCAGGCGCGUAAAUUACCCAAUCCUGACUCAGGGAGGUAGUGACAAGAAAUAACGGACCGGGGUCUUCCGAGGCUUCGGGAUUGCAAUGAGCCGAAUUUACACCCCUUAGCGAGAAUCGAUUGGAGGGCAAGUCUGGUGCCAGCAGCCGCGGUAAUUCCAGCUCCAAUAGC
rnacentral:rRNA from 1 species